ensembl:lncRNA
CCACAUCUCCACUGUAAACCGCUCCACCAUUUUCCUGCUUCAUGUAGUGCAACAAAGAGUUUCAGUUCACACAUGAUAGUACAAACCGUGACGCCUGCGUUUUUUAUGUUUUCGGUAAAUUAAAAAUACACCAGCAAUGAUGAACAUCACAGGAAGAGGCAGACCAGCUCUCAGUCCAACAAAUCCAUCCUCGUUCACUCCAUCUCCACUCUGUCCUCCUGUCUGAGCUGCAGGUGAGAAACAGGUGUGAGGUGUCAGCUGUCAGGUAGGUGAUGAGUGAAGAACAGAACAGAAUCCAUUUCCUCUUCAAACUGCUGUCAGACAUUAUCUACUGCACUCUGAUCACAACACCCCGGCUAGCUAUCGAGCUGGUGGGUAAAAUAUGUCUCCGAAAACGUCGGAGUGCUUUUGCAAAUAUGUGAUGUCUUUAAAAACCGAGCAGAUAUUUGAACUUUACACAGCUACAUUCUCGCCUGAAAAUAUGUUAAAAGUUUGUUUUGUGACGCAGAAAGAGUAAUAAGAGUAAUAUUAAAACUAAGUAGCUGCCGCCAUUGUUCGAAACUGGAAUAGGCUGGGCUGCGCUAUGAAUUCUGGGAUAGGUUGGGCCACGAACGAUACACCCGACCCAUCCUUCAAAUCCGGAGAAAUGAAGGACCCAUUUCUGGGCCGCAUUUGUCGGAGUCUUCGAAAUUGGACAGCCUUCGUCGUGUCGCAUUGAUGUAAUGCGGCCUCAGGAGGAUGUGGUUCCUGUAUUUGGACACAGCUAGGAUACUGGACACAGCUUCUUCUUCUUCUUCGAGGUUUAACGGCAGCUGGCAUCCUUGUACAUGCAGCGCUGCCAUCUUCUGUUUCAGUCCGUUAUUACACUCUUAAAUCCUACUUAUUCCAGCGUCUUUUGGGAUCUUACAAAGCUUCAAACGACUAUUAAAUUAGUCGUCGACGAUUUUGAUAGUCAACGUAAUCGUGACUAGUCGACUAAUCGUGGCAGCCCUAGUUUCAUUUUAAUAGACAACUUUUGUACACAAACGUCAACUCGACACCCACUUGAGAUAUAAACACAGAUCCUGCAUCGAGCUUGUAAGAUCUUCAGGGUGUCAGACUGUGGGAUGCAAUUUUUUCAUUCAAUGAGGAAAGAUUCUAAAAGAAAACAUGGCAAUACAAUUGAAACAUGGCAAAAACAGGUAAUUUUCUACAGGUGACACUAAGUUAAACUAUAGCUUAAUGAACAAUGUUUUAAUUAUAAUAUAUCAUAUAUACAGUAUGUUUAGUUUUUAUUUAAAAGUGCAUCAUAAAUACACUUAUAACAUCUGUAAGCACACUUCUGGUUAAUAAUGCAGCAAGUUAUUAUUGGCUCUCUCUGUCUGGACAAAUUAAUUUGAGUUAAGGGUAUAAACUCACACCGUCAUCUUCAUCCGGGUUACCACACACACAAAAUAGAUUAAGCCUUGCCACACUCGUCUAUACAACUCCUCAUUCAACAAUCAUUUUCAGUGAGCCAGCAGAUCACACACAAGUUACAGUACGAGCAUAAGUGCUAACAAUAUGUCAUUGUUUUACAAAAAAACCCAAACUACUCACCCAUGACACCUUCAUGUUUCACACCCACCAUUGGCUUCAAUGCCCAAAUCCCAAGUCCUGGGGGGUGUACUCAUCCUCCUGUCUGCUCUCCUUCCGCUCUGGAGCACCAGUUUUUUGUUUGUUUGUUUUUUGGUUGACAAACCCAAAGAAAACAAAAAACCCUUCAAAAUGAAAAUAUUUUUCUUCUACUUAGUGUGUCCCUAACACUCAUUUUCCUCAGAGCUCCUCUUUUGCAGAGUUGGUUCAAGUGAUGUAUUUCCCAAAAACAUUUCAAAAAUGCCUUUUUAAUCAGUGGAGUGUAAACUCCCCAAGUAAAUAUUGCAGUUUGAUAUUUGGACGUGUCAGUAGAACUCAUGUGGCACCUAGUUUACUGGAAUUCUGCGAAUAUGAGCAUCCAGUGUGACGUUGUAGAGGCGGCCCUCCUACUUUUUCGGCCGUGGGGGGAUUUGAUACACUACAAUGCAUCAGUCGCGUCAUCUCUAUUCACUCCAAUGGAUCAGUUUUGUUUUUUGUUUUGUUACAGCGAUGGCAGACGGAGCACAAGAGAGAGGAUUUUAUUAUGGAUUUCAAAAUCUUAUCUGGUUUUCUUAUUCAGUUCAAUUUCAUUUAUAUAUCGCCAAAUCACAACAAUAGUCGCCUUAGGGCGAGCCCCCAUAUGGCUAAGAAAAUGUCUGGAGGCGGCCCUGUUUGCAAGCAUAUUUGUGCCUGCGUCUUUUUUACCUUAUAAAAACAUCUGAACAAAAUUAAAGAAAUGUUAUAUAUUGGCACUCUUGAAAGGCGUUUUUUGUAUGUCUAUUAAAGUUAUUAGCAGAAAAUUGAUUGCAGCUUCUCCCUUUUGACAGGAACGUUGUUUGUGGCUCAAUGUUUGACAAGUAAGCGCCGCAGGGAACAAUCUCAAGUCUUCAUGUUUAAACUCGCGACUCUCCCAAUCAACAGCUCCCAAACCUCCGACCAACGCGCCAUCUACGAUGACCUGACGUCGCCACAACUUUAAGAUUUUGGAAAAAAUUUUAACCAAUAAAAGGCUUCAAAUACUUAAUCACACAAAAUGACGUUUUCACAGUCAGCGGGGGUGAUUUGUUUUGGAGUGUUCAGUGAUGUUAUGAAUAACAGAACACGGUUCGGCGCCGAGGCGAAAUCUCACCGGCGAAAGUGGACGCGGUGGCGACGACAACGAGCAUCAGAAUCCAGCAGGGCCACGAAAACGUUACAACAGCCAUUUGCGCUUAACCUAAAACAGCAAAGAAUGAGGAAGGAAUAGACGCAGGGUUAAAGUCACGGAGUCCAGUUAGUUUACGUACACAGUAAAGAUUUACUGAAAUAUCCGUUUGUUUACCGUCGUUUUAAACUACGACAGAAAAUGAUGUGACGUUGCUGUACCAGCUCGUACCGUGAACCCGUUUAAACGUUAGCGCUUUACAGAUUAAUGGUGAAUAACACGGUAAACAUCGAGGGUCACGUUCAAUGUGUCAGUAAAAACAGAGACGCCGGUAAACGUUUCUCUUUUAAAGGUUUUCCGUCAGUUACUCACGAGCUCUCAGCCACGUACAGCCAACACGACCACGGUGGAAACUACUCUGAAUGAGCGCACCGGAUCCGGUGAAGCUUCUUUACCGG